AUCAACAGCAUAUGCUUCAUAUUCAAUUUGCAUUCACGUUAAACAAAACUAUCCAACACCUGUACUAAUUUAACUAAUGAACCAUGACCAACAAAAUAGCUUCAGAGAUCAACUGAAAUAAGAUCUGAAGUAUAGUCAAAACUAAAACUAUUCAAGCUAAGAGAUCAAGUUAAGGGUGAACAAAAUGUCAAGAAAAAUCAAUCAACGGAACAUAACUUGGUUCGAAAAUUGAAUGCAAUCCCAGAGGUUAAUACUAAUUUUAACUCAUCUUACUCAAACCUAUCUCAUGAAUCAUUUAAGAGAACACAGUAAAGAAAAUUUGAAAUAACAACCAUCCAAGCAUCAAAUUAGUCGUCUAGAAUAGGAGCAGAUCCAAACACUCAAUGAAAUACGUAGAACGGACCUUUAAAUGAAUUUUCUUCAAUGUAUUGACUUGCAAAAACUCCGACAAGCCGGAUGAUACAGCAACAGCAGAAUCAGAAUUUUCUUCAAUGUAUUGACUAGCAAAAACUCUGACAAGCCGGAUGAUACAGCAACAGCAGAAUCAGGCCGGUAACGCGAACCAACAGCGAAACUCGAUCAACAACAGAAAUCUCCAAUCGGAGAACUCGCUCGGAAUCAACAGUAUUCGAUCAACAACAAAACAGUACUUCGACUGAAAUCGACUAGCUCAAACUCGAUUGAAUUCCACGAUUUUUUGAAAAUCAGAAAUCUGAAGAAUGAGCCAGAAUUUGACAUGAAAAUCAAAGGAUUCAAAUCUGAAAUGUGAAUGAGUAAACUCGUCCUCUCACUAUCCUCUGUAUGUGUUUGUGUGGACUGAAACUUGAACGAAGGAGGUCGUUUGGGUUUGAGGUUGAGUACUGUUCGCGCUCUUGAAGAAGAAGCACUUGGGUCCUUUGUUUUGGUGUAACGGCGAGUUCGCCGCUGGUGAGGAGAGGAGGAAUCGAGGGGUCGUUUGGGUGGGGAUCGAAGAAGAUGAAUUCUGGGAGGGUUCUGUUAAAAUCUGCGUAUCCCCUUUUAGUUUUUUUAGUGUCUAGGUUCUAUUGUAUAGAUUUGUAUCUAGGAUUUUAG
rnacentral:lncRNA from 1 species